GCUAUCACAAGCAUGCUACUCAAUGACUCAGAGUGAAAAAGACAUUUUUUGUAAAGUAUUAUCAAAUGUCAAAGUUCCUGAUGGGUAUUCAACAAAUAUCUCACGAUUUGUGAACCUUAAACAACAUAAAAUUCAUGGAUUAAAAAGUGCGCACUAUAUAUGGAAAACAAAAAUUAAAUAGUAAUGGAAAACGUAAACGGCAUGAUGUCAAUGAUGAGGAUAAUGUGAUAUGGAAAAAGAAGAGUUUUUUUUUUGUGUUGCCAUAUUAGGAGCAUAACCUCAUUCGCCCUAACUUAGAUGUUAUGCAAAUUGAGAAAAAUAUUUGUGAUAGCAUUAUUGGGACAUUGUUGAAUAUUAAAGGUAAAACCAAAGACAAUUCAAAAGCACGUCUUGAUAUGAAAGAAUUGAGAAUAAAGCAGUCUCUUCAUCUCUAAUAUAAAGAAGGAAAGACAGUGGCUACCACAAGCGUGCUACUCAAUGACUCAGAGUGAAAAAGACAUCUGCUGUCAAGUAUUAUCAAAUGUCAAAGUUCCUGAUGGGUAUUCAACAAAUAUCUCACGAUUUGUGAACCUUAAACAACAUAAAAUUCAUGGAUUAAAAAGUCAUGAUUGUCACAUAUGAAUGCAUCAACUUCUUCCACCGGCAGUGAGAAAGUCCUUGCAAAAAAAUGUUAGCUCAGUGCUGAUUGAAUUGAGCAAUUUCUUCAAGGAUCUUUGUUCUAAAGUUGGAAUAGUUGAAGAGUUUGCUCUACUUACAUCUCGUAUCACUUAAAUUUUAUGCCAUCUUGAAAAUGUAUUUCCACCCCUAUUCAACGUAUUUCCGCCCCUAUUCUUUGAUAUUAUGGUACAUUUUCCAAUUCAUUUAGCAGAUGAGGCAAAGAUUGCUGGACCAAUACAAUAUC
rnacentral:lncRNA from 1 species